CCUCCGUGCGUCACACAGAUGAUGGAGGCCCAUCUGAGCAGAGACCAAGCUAUCAAGGCCUGUAUAGCCAAAACAUCUGCUGUGAUGGGACAGCUGGGUGAGGUAAGAGCAAAAGACUGCGAGGACCUGGCAGUCAUCAAACAACUCAGGAAUGAGCAGUCCAAAGUCCGUCCUGUCUUUAAUAUAAAAAAAACACAUCAAAGCUGUAAGAUGUGUUUUUUCAGAACGACGACGAGGUGGAACUAUAUUCUGACAUUAAGUGUUUACAGCGCUUUGCCUUCGCCGCAGUUUUCAAACUAAAACGGGGGCCGGGGCAUUUCCAAACUUCACCAUUGAGUUCCAUGGAAAUCAAGAUGAAGCAACACCUCUGACCCAGGCAUAUGAGUUCAUGGAAAAAAACGGUGUUCAACUAUUUGAAAAUCCUCCAACUUUCCUCAGAUGUUGUGGCAAGGAAGGA